CAGUUACUCUAGCGCGCCAGGCCGAACCGCAGCUUCUUGGCUUAGGUACUUCUACUCACAGCGGCCGAUUCCGAGGCCAACUCCAGCAAUGGCUUUUGCAAACCUGCGGAAAGUGCUCAUCAGUGACAGCCUGGACCCUUGCUGCCGGAAGAUCUUGCAAGAUGGAGGGCUGCAGGUGGUGGAAAAGCAGAACCUUAGCAAAGAGGAGCUGAUAGCCGAGCUGCAGGACUGUGAAGGCCUUAUUGUUCGCUCUGCCACCAAGGUGACCGCUGAUGUCAUCAACGCAGCUGAGAAACUCCAGGUGGUGGGCAGGGCUGGCACAGGUGUGGACAAUGUGGAUCUGGAGGCCGCAACAAGGAAGGGCAUCUUGGUUAUGAACACGCCCAAUGGGAACAGCCUCAGUGCCGCAGAACUCACCUGUGGGAUGAUCAUGUGCCUGGCCAGGCAGAUUCCCCAGGCGACGGCUUCGAUGAAGGAUGGCAAAUGGGAGCGGAAGAAGUUCAUGGGAACAGAGCUGAAUGGAAAGACCCUGGGAAUUCUUGGCCUGGGCAGGAUUGGGAGAGAGGUAGCUACCCGGAUGCAGUCCUUUGGGAUGAAGGUAAGAUGUUGCUGGAACCCUGUGAUGUGGGACUUUCUGCAGCAAUUUUGGGAAAGGCAGCAUGUCUGGGCAGAAGCCAGAAGCUUUGUUCUAGGAAGGUCUGACCCUCUCUUGGAGCCCCCAUCUAAAUAAGCAUUAAAGCCAAGGAGGGAGAGAACACUGGCCUGCUGAUCUGGACUCAAAAGCUGGAAAUAUUUGGUGGGGGUCCUUUAGCUCUCUGGUGAGUGAAUAGCCCUGAGUCCCAGUGAACCAGGUGUUGAUGGCUGUUUUGAGAUCUUGGUUCUUGUCUUCUUAGUUUAAAAGAAUUUAAACAGGAGACACGGUGCAGCAUUGAGGAGUUUGUUGCAAAGGAAAAAGAAUAUUUUGAAAGUUAAGUGCAGAGUAGACAGUACACCUUGAGAGAGAGAGAACUCAGGGUGGGCUGCUCAUAAGAAUGAGGCAGUGUUGGCCAGGUGCGGUGGCUCAUGCCUGUAAUCCAGCACUUUGGGAGGCCGAGGCAGGCGGAUCACGAGGUCAGGAGAUCAAGACCAUCCUGGCUAACAUGGUGAAACCGCAUCUCUACUAAAAAAAAAAAAAA
rnacentral:sRNA from 1 species